CAAUCAAAAAAGGUGCAAAAACAGAGAGUGGACUUUCAGAAUAAAACAUGGAAUCAGAUUGAACACGGGUCCACAGAGUAUUUGCAGCCAGCCAACAUUGUAGAAAGUAUAUUUGGUGUCAACAUAAAAACCAUAAUUUCUGGCCUUUUCCACAGAGCAGAACUCCGUCGAGGUGUCGGCCCGCUGUCAGCGAGGUGAAGCCAGAGUGACGGCUUUCAGCAGGGAGAGCGUUUAAAUCCAGGGGACGCCGAGGCGAGUUGAACCACAGUAAUAGACUCAGGUUGCUCACUUUCCAACCAAGCAGAGAGGGAACAGAGAGCAUUCAGCACCACGGACAGAGACCCGGCGAUCAGUAACACCUUCUGCAAUCAGACAUCCGUCGCUCAGAGAUAAAAUAGCCCCCAGGACCUUUCUUCACAUGUAAAAGGAAAUGUGGUGUACAGUUAAAGUCAAACAAUCCCAUAGAGAGCACGAAGCACGAUUCUCUGGAUAAUUGGUGCAAGUUGGCUUCUCUCGCUUUCAUUGUCAAUAAUGAGAGGACGGUUAAUGUGACCCGGAUCACAUGAGAUUCUGUCCAAAUGCUGCCUGUUAAUAUCUCAAACAGCUACUGAAUUAUAAAAACCCCUCUGGCUUUGUAGCACAUCUUCAUUCAUCCCCACAGUGCAGUCGUGGUAUUUCCUGUCAGCCCACCUCCAAAAAGUAGCUUCAGCUCACAUCAAAAGGAAGGAGAGCCCAGGUAGAGUUUGCAUUGAGACUCUGGGAUGUGGGAUCACUGCUCCAAUGUUACGCUGCUGCCUGCGUCAUCUCCCUCCCUCUCAGUGUUUGCUGGUUCCACAGACCUUCCUCGGCUCCACUCAUUACGCGGUGGACUUUGUCGCCCGCCGGCGCGGCUGUUUUGCAUUCGUGCACCGAGAGGCGCUUGUUUAAGAUGCCAGAGUUGUCCGUGCUGUUGACUCGCCGACUGUUGACUGUGUUUGAAAAGAAAUAUCAGAUUCGCACCAAGGAAUCGGGCUGAAACCACGAACUGGACUUACAGACAGUAAUCUACAUAUUAGCACACAAGUCACAUUCAACAUUUUACUGUUACAUUUUGCAGUUUCAAGUAUUUGAGGAACGGUCUUUUUUAGGAAAACCUGUUCAUAAAGCCAUGAUUUUCAUCCACAGACGGUUGCAGUAGAACUGAAUAUUGAAUCCGAAUGAAAACAGGUUCCACUAAGCGUAGAACAAUGAAGGGAAUAUGAAAGAAAGAUACUUUGGGAGUCCCUGCAUUCAGAUGAAGACCGGUCGGGGCUUUCUGGGAGGAAGCGAAUGAAAGAAUCAGAGCCGCCUUCAUGCCUGAUGAGAAAAGCUGGAGGGAAAUCAAGGUUUGGGGCUAUUGAUGGAUUUCUAGGGAGGAGAGAAUAGCAAAGAAUAUGUUGCAGCUGAAGGUUGUCAGAAGCUGAAAGAAGGAACUGAUGGUUCUCAUAAAAGGGAUCCGCAGACGUUGGUACGCGACAGAGAGAGAGACAAUGGCCAUAAAUGGAACAUGAGUGAGAGAGAGAGAGAUUGUAAAAGAGAAUGUAAAAAAACGGCAGCGUUGUAAAAUGCGUGUCUGCAGAGCUCCAUAAAGCGAGAUAUUUGGUUGAUGAAUAUUACCACUAUGUGUUCACACUUUUAUUUACACGCCUAUCAGCCACUUUAAGGAGCGUUCUGCAUCCUCGUAUAGUGUGUGUCUGCUCUGAUCAUCUUGCUUUGGAAUAAAUGUGUGAUGGGUUCAGUCAACAUCGACACGUAUGUACAACAUUGAUACUUAUGUACAAACAUAACGCGCUUAUGUGCACAACACUUAACACUAUAAAGUGUUAAAUGUUGUGAUGCUUCUUUCCUUACUUACUUACAUUCUGGACAAACGUAAUAUGGCCUCAAGUAAGAUGAUAAAGGAAGAGGAAGAAUUAGACAAACAUUGACAGGAAAAGGUCUAAAUGAAUUGAGAGCGGACACGGGGGGUCGUGGGGGGGCUGAACAAUCCUCGCCGGCGGCUACAAAAGCGAUUAUGUGACAGGUGGCGAGGCCUCGACGCAUGACUUGAAUUUGAUUCCAUCGCGGCGGCGCUAUCUCCUCUCUGGCGGCAGUAAUCAUCCCCUCUUUCUUCUCAGCGUGAAUGCCUCGGCGGAGAGGUGACGUGCACUGAAAGGAAAAACUGAAGCUCCACACACUUAAGAAGAGACCGAGAGGGAGAAAGUGAAGCCCCCCCCCCCUCCUCCUCCUCCUCCCUCCGUCGCAAUUGUCUCCACCAAAGCCUCUCAUUAAAAGUGUGUUAGAGGGGGUUUUGUUGAUCGUGGAGACCUGGCAACGUGUUCUUUGGUCUUUUUGCUGACGUCUGAAGGGACCCGCGUGCAGAAGCAGGUCCAAAGCCAAAAGGAUCACCAGCGUUCCCACAACAGAAUCAUCAAUUUGGAAAUCACAAUGAACACACCUGAAAUGUCCUUAAGAUGUUGAAUAGACUCACAUCUGUGAUUCAAAAGCUAGAACACAAAGACGCUCUGCAAGAAAAAGUCACCGUGGGUCAUUGCAGGCUACCGUUCUGAAUCCUACACCAAACCUUCAUCACUUAAAUCACUUAACAGAGAAUAUAGUUUCACAAUAAUUGUGGAAGCAAUAAUCCAACGUCGAUGUAGGACUGAUAUAUGAUCCCAUAUUUCUCUUCCCCUUGCCAAAGUAAGUUUAUCGAGAUCAUCUCCUCCCAACCACCGAUAUAAACCUACAUAGCUUAAGUUCACAAGUUCAUGUUGUGAACUUCUAUCUGUUCUCCAGCCUCCGAUCCUCAGAUUAUGCAAAACGAGAAUCUCUGUAAACAGCAGCUCCCUUUUCAACCUCGGAGGAGCUGCUGUCUUGUUCCCAAUAAGACUUCAGUUCUCACUUCUGCUUCUCCUCACGAUACAACGCACACACACACACACACACACACACACACAUGCCUUCAUUAGUGGGUGUGGAUUGUUCACAUGCCGCCUCAAGCCAAAUGAGGCAGAAGCAAAGCGUAGCACAUCUUGAGAAUUAGACUGUGUCGUUUUCAGGGUGUGCGCGCGUAUGAAGAAACGGCGCGAAGCCUUCGUUAGUGUCACAUCCUUCACGCAGCGAAUACACACCUCCUUCCUUCCCGUCCCGUCUCCAUCCGCAGCACACUCUGUUUAAGGGGGGGGGGGGGUUCUUCUCCUCGGGCUGCGUGAGCCUCCGAGCUGUUUCCCACCGUCGGCCCGUGGGGGAACAUCAGAGGAACUGCAGAUCAGUUUGAUUAGAUUUCCUCUGUUUGUCCCCAUCGUUCCUCCUUUACUCGGCUCAGCGACCGGAUCUGUGGAAUACAAUGAGGUAAAAGAACAAAACUUUAAUGUCUUUGCAUAGAAACGCUUAAAUACCUAAUGAUACAAAACAUAUGUGUGUUUUCUCGACAUGUUCGUAAAACCACUUUGGUUUCACCAGUUCAGAAUCUUUCGAUCUUGGUCUGACUUCUAACAGCGUAACCUAAAAUUGCUUUUAUUUAACUCCAUGACCCCUUUGAGAUUAUUCAUGAACGUGGACUUUGGUUUGGGAUGGCGAGAAAGCAACGUGGCAACUUUAAACCGGCUGGCUGGGAGCAGGUUGAGGGAAGGCGAGGAGGUCAUGACCUCGCUGUCUCACUAUUCCACCACAACAAUCCAAAGCCGCCUUUGUUCCUUCAGCAAUGUUCUUUUCCUUCAGAAAACAGACAACCCAAAAUAACAGAAUUCAAUUAAGUUAAAUCUAAUUUGUUUCUCUUGUCGCUUCGUUUUUUUUACUCUCUUUCCUCGGACUGCAGUAAAUUGUAUUUCCAUUCACAACAGACUCUUAUUUGUUGUAGGAAAACAACAAAGUUGCACACAGGUGGAUGUUGCCCCUUUAGAUAUUUCAAAGUCCUAAAAAUAAUUUAAGUUUAAAGUGACUUAUUUCAUCCAUCCCCACUGAAGUCCUGAUCAAAGCUGAAAUGGUUUUUCUGAGCCGUUCUCAUCCUAUAAAGCCAUCCAUCAACGUCUGGAUCUGUUUUCACCGCCCCGCUCGUUCUCCUUCCACGUUCUCCAUAGAAGUUCUCCCUGGUGGACGGCUGUGACCCGUGACUGAGGGUUAACAACAACCGCACAACCGCUGCGACUCCAUCAGACGCUGUUAAACC
ensembl:lncRNA